rnacentral:rRNA from 1 species
AACGAACGCUGGCGGCAUGCCUAACACAUGCAAGUCGAACGAGACCUUCGGGUCUAGUGGCGCACGGGUGCGUAACGCGUGGGAACCUGCCCUUAGGUUCGGAAUAACUCCCUGAAAGGGGUGCUAAUACCGGAUAAUGUCUUCGGACCAAAGAUUUAUCGCCUUUGGAUGGGCCCGCGUUGGAUUAGCUAGUUGGUAGGGUAAAAGCCUACCAAGGCGACGAUCCAUAGCUGGUCUGAGAGGAUGAUCAGCCACACUGGGACUGAGACACGGCCCAGACUCCUACGGGAGGCAGCAGUGGGGAAUAUUGGACAAUGGGCGAAAGCCUGAACCAGCAAUGCCGCGUGAGUGAUGAAGGCCUUAGGGUUGUAAAGCUCUUUUACCCGGGAUGAUAAUGACAGUACCGGGAGAAUAAGCUCCGGCUAACUCCGUG